rnacentral:lncRNA from 1 species
GAGCAGCAAGAAGGUAAUGUGGAGGGAGGGACCUCCAUGACCGGUGUCUGCAGAGCCAGGGGUACAGGCACCCAGUGCUGUGGCCUGGCACCACCUGCAUCUCAGAGGGUGGAUGGCACACUCCUUACCCAGAGGACAGCAGGCCUGGUCACCAGCUUUUCUACCUGUCCCUGUAAGCAUCACAUUGCUGGAGGAAAAUCUCAUGCCAGAGCUUGGACCAUCCCUAGCUCAGGGGUUAGGGGUUGUCCCUUGGUGACCUAAAUGAAAAAACAGGUCCAGAACAGAGUUCCUGAUGCUGGACACUCAUUCAGUCUUUGAAUCAUGGGAGGGGAGGCCUGGUACUAGGUAGACCUAACCUCUUUGAGGAACUACAGAGCCCAAGGCUGGAAACCUCCAGAAUCCUCCACCCCCUGAUCCUCCCUGGGGACCCCUGUGGCCUGUCUCACUGAGCACUCUUCCAUCUAUAGAUGUCUGGGCUGCUGUACAAGGGAGUCCCCUUUCAGGUUUGGUGCUAGACAUGGUCACUCCUGCUGGAUGUCUAGGUGGUAGAAACCAAGGACCUAGGGAAAUACGAGGUACAGCCUUUCCACGCUCAUCCAGAGCAGGACAAACAGGCCAGGCGGUGUCAGGAGCCCAGGUCUCCAGCUGGAGGGAACGUCAACCCUGCGGUGGGAGCAGGGGCCCUUUGCACAUCCUAGGCACAGAUGGUAAUGUAGACACCACAGGUAAGCUGGGCUUGGUACCUACCCCUCCCCGGAUUCAGAAAGAAACCAAACAAGGAGCUUUGUGUGGAAUGAAACCUCCUUUCCUCCCGGAAGCACUGCUGACUGUUUGGUGGUUGCCAUUUGUGGCAGUGAGCCUUUGUUUGUUCUGAGGGUGGGCUGGUUUCUCCUCUUGGCCCUGCCCUACAGAUCAUAAAGGAGAACAGCAAGAGGUCCCCAGCAAACAUCCACAGAUGGCCUUGGAAAUAAGUCACCUUGUGAGAAACAUGUCAUGUUCUGGGAGGGAUAAGGCAUCAACCUCACCCUGCAGGAAUGCCAGUGAACAUAUUGCUGACAUCUUGGAGCUCAGUACCCUCAUACUGUAACGGCGUCAACAGAUCUGCCUGUGCUUGGACUUCCUGUACUACCCAUUCCUGAGGGGCGAUGCUUCUGCAGGGCCUGUGACUUGGUGCACAACUUCAGACACCAUCAUCUUGCAGCAGCACCGCACCCUCACUAGCCAGAGUGUUGAUGACUUCCUCAAGGCCAAGGCCACAUUCAAGGCUUCGGACUUCAUUGAUGCGCUUGUGCUGAGCAAGGUGGCUUCUCCAGGAUCUUAAUUCAGGAGGUAGAAUGGAGCUUGAGAUCAAGUGUCUGAUCAAGCCUCAGUGUAUGGGCGCUGUUCAUCCUCUGGUGCUGAAGCAGCCAAGAGACACAAGUCUGCCUGGCUGCCUCUUAGGAUAUGACAGCAGAGCCAGUGGCCUCUACUAGAUCCUGUACAACCUCACAAAACACCCAGACAUCGGGAGUGCUGCCAGCAUGUGAUGCAAGAGUCCUAAUCCUGAAGACAUUGAAUGGUGGGUGCAGGGCCUCAUGGCCUGUUCCCCAGCCCCUCUCAUUGGCUCUGCUCCAGGUGGUGAAGGGGGAAAAUGUUUUUGUCAAUUCUGUCAUGAUUGCCUAGCAAGAAAAGGAGCAGAACCCAGAAGCAGUAAAAUCAGUUAGUAAAAUCAGUUUUCUUUUCUGAACUACAUUUCUGCCAUCUCUAAUUGAGGGGAAUUCCUUCUACUCCACGAGGUUGCUUGGAGAAUGACUGACAGUGUAUGUAGAGCAGGUGCCAGCCAGCAGGCGUUUGGUGUCCAGACCACUCUUCCCCCUUGAUUUUCUGCCUAUAUUUUCAUUUUGUUCCCAAGACCCUCACUCCCCUUUAAUUUUGCUUUUCCCUCUGAUUCCCACCUUAUCUUGUUUCCCAUGGAUUAACCAGGAUGUAAGUGGGUAACAGUCAUGUAUGCAUGUAUGUGUAUGUAUGUAUGUUCUCUGUUGGUGUUGGAGUAUGGUGUGUGUGUGUGAGAGAGAAAGAAUGUGUGUGUGUGUGUGAGAGAGAGAGGGAGAGAGAAUGUGUGUGUGUGUGUGUGUGUGUGUGUGUGUUGGGGUCACUGAGGGACUGAAACUCUCCACACCAGGCUGUGGUCCUGCUCACUGCUGGAGGCGCUGUCAGGGCUCUUGCCAUUGACCCUCCAGGUCUCAUUCUUGCAUUGCAGACAGGGCAUUCUGGAGGAAUCAUGUCCUUGGAAGAAGCCCUGAGGAGUGACUGACCUGUCAUUGUGCUGUUUUUACCAAAAAGGAUCAUGAGGAUCAGAGAGGAAAAGUCACUUGCCCAAAGUCACACAGCUGAACAGUGGUGGAGUUCAACUUUGACCGUGGGCUGUCUGGCCCCAAGGUGUAUGCUUGCUUCUCUCCCAAGAGACUCCUUUCUUAUCUGGCUCAAAUGAAUGAAAGGAGGAUGUUAAAGGUAGGAUCUCUGAAGCCUGUGCCAGUGGAACCGCA